GUCUCUAUGGCGCAACUGGUUAGCGCGUCCGACUGUUAUGAUUCAAAUGCGAUCGGGAGGUUGACAGUUCGAGUCUGUCUAGUGACG